AAAUACAUUUACGAUGCCAAAACAAAGAGCUCAAUGCUAAAUUAUUCAUGUCCUAACUUAUACAUAAAAAUCUCUACAGGAAGCACCAGUAUCAGAUAGAACAGUUAUAGUAAAGGACACAAACAAUCCUGAAUACAACCAGACAUUCAACCUCACCAUCAACCGCACCAGAGCUUGCCUGAGGGUGUUCAAACGACACGGUAUCAAGUUCGAAGUCUGGUCGCGCGGGUGCGGCGGCUGCGCUGACGCGCUGUUCUGUUGCAGCGGCUGGUUCCGCAGCGACGCGCUCGUGGGCGCCGCCACCGUCAAGCUGGCGCCGCUGCAGGACCACAUCACGCUGCAUAACUCCUUCCCGUUGAUGGACGGGCGUCGGCCUACAGGAGGCUCGUUGGAAGUCAAGCUCAACGUCCGGACGCCACUACUGCAGGAACAAGUCAAGACCACUCAGCAUCGGUGGAUAGUCAUCGAAGAUUAAUCAUAAGACUCCGCAAAAAGUAUUCAUACAUUCAUAUAAAUGUGGGCACUUGAUACUUGUGCAAGCGCUUACAUGUCACGUGACCAAUCAGAAAGGAUCGUUGUCUUAACGAUUAGUCAUUUGUUUCGGUUGUCAGUUACACGGAAUAAAACACUAUCAGUUUCUUAAGUUUAUGAAUUUGAUCUGUUUAUUAAACAUUUUGUUGGUCAAUCAAAAAUCUUAACUAAACGUCGAGUUUGAUUAGACAUUUGAUAGGUAAUUAAUUUCUUUACUUGUAUUGACCAGUUUUGUAGAAACUAUCAAUUUAUUCUUGUUACAUACCGAGUAAAAAGCAUGCAAAUUGGUUUCUCUGAAGUAGGAGGAUAAUUGUCACAAACAUAGAACAAACAUCAAUGGUUUACCUAAAACAGGUAUUUUAUUACUUAGCUUUGCGGUAAAGCGCACUAUUAUAAAAAGUAAAAAUAUAUGUAUGCAAAUGUGUAAAAGAAAUUGCGGCUUAAAACACGGAGUGAGAUAGAAGUAUACAAAAUGGUAGGUAAGACAGAGAUAGUUGUUUUUGUAACUUUAAUAAAGAUGCACUUCGUAUAUUACAUGCAAAUCAUUUUGAUUUAGAUUUGUUGCUGAAUUCUUCGGUUGUGGAUAUGCGCAUAAGUGUAAAUGUGACCUUUGUCGAUAUUACGUAUCAAAAGCCAAAGCGACAACAACCUAUACACAAUAGCUGACUAUAAUAAUUUGAUAAUGGUUAACAGACAGGGAGGUGUAAAGGGGGUUUACUUGAACCGACCGUGUGAGUCGCUCCUCGCUGCCUUUGCUCAUAAUUAAGGACUCUGGUUGGGUCCGAAACUAGUCGAGCUAUCGCGAUUAAUACGUGAGAGGAAGGCUUUAUCAAGAAAAAAAAGAACGUUGCUAUUAUAAUAUAGAGAACUGUUUCUUCAAAAUUAAAUCCAUUUCGUGAUGAUAAAUGUUUCGCACAGCGUUCGCAAGAUGUAUGCCCAGUAUGAUACAAGCUGUUGUGAUUAAAUAUAUAAAAAAUGCAUUUUAAUGAGCAAUAUUUUGAUGUAAAUGGUGGGAAGGUUAGCUUUAUCAAGAGUUGAAGGAGUGUUAAUGGGUAUGUUAUGUAAUUAUAUGUAAAUAAUCUUAUAAAUAUUCACAAACUAUAUCUGUCUCUUUUUAUCUUAUUGCACUUCUAAUUAGAUUGAAAGGGACAGAAAUAUUAUAACUUUUUUCUUUCAAUACGUUAAUGAACGAAGCUUUAGUGUUUAAGUCAUUGUAAAAUACGAAAAUCUCAAUAUUACACGUCCAGCUAUUUUCUCUAUUUUGUUACUUGUAAUGUUAUGCGAAAUUGAACUUUAAUUGUGUAAGAUAGAGUCUCAAUUUCUUUAUCAUAUGAUGUUAUGUUUUUUUAAAGCAAAAUUUAGCCUUAUGUAUUAGUGAUACGGUUCAAUAUUCACUGUUUCUAGCCAGUGUGGAGGCAAAAUAUAGCUAAAAGCAAAAAUUAAAUGAAUUCAAGAUGUUGUUAUUUUUGUGUUAUUUGAAUUUUUGUUUAUUGAAUUAAGAUUAUUGUAUAAAAUCAUGGAUAAUUCGUAAAUUAUUAAUAAUGGCAAUGGCUUUCCAAUUUUUCUAUGUUGAUGAAGUCCAAAACAAUUUGACAUAUUUUUUGCAAAUAAAUAAUUUAUAUUUUUAUACAGAAGUAGUACACUAUACACAAUUUACAAGCAUUUAAAUUACAACACUUAGGAGUGACAUUUUUACAAGUGCUAUUCCUGCAAAUGUAUGGGAAUAACAAUUCUUGUGAAAAGGGUAUUUCUAAAAAAGAAUUGUUGAGUUCCAUUACACAGAUUUCUUAAAAAUAUUCUACACGCAUUUUUUAUUUUAUCUCGUAAACAAAAAAGUGAAGAUGUACAGUGAAAUCAAAUGUCUUGUGACGUCACUUACCAGUUCGCUUUUUACUAGCAUGUGAUGUUAGCAACCUUAAAUCCUUUCAAUCUUGCUUACUGUUAAUUAUGUCAUAAAGUUAAAAUUAUGUAUUAAAUAUUUAUUGGAAAUCUGUCUGACGCACUAUACAGAUUUAUAUUAUUUGAUUUAGUCAAAUACCCUGUUCCAUACAUUUGGGUCAUUGCUUUAAAAAUGUCACUUGUCUAAGAGCGCAGAUUGUCUAAAAGACAAAUUGUAGCCGUGUAAGAUAUGAGACACGUUUUGGCGAAUAAUUCACGGAAUACGUUACAUUAUUUAUAUUUAAGAAUGUAUAUUUUAAUGUUAAUAAAUGUAUUAAUAAAGAUC